CACAUGCAAGUCGAGCGGAAAGGCCCUUCGGGGUACUCGAGCGGCGAACGGGUGAGUAACACGUGAGUAACCUGCCCCUGACUCUGGGAUAAGCCCGGGAAACUGGGUCUAAUACCGGAUAUGACAUCGUUUCGCAUGGGAUGAUGUGGAAAGUUUUUCGGUUGGGGAUGGACUCGCGGCCUAUCAGCUUGUUGGUGGGGUAAUGGCCUACCAAGGCGACGACGGGUAGCCGGCCUGAGAGGGCGACCGGCCACACUGGGACUGAGACACGGCCCAGACUCCUACGGGAGGCAGCAGUGGGGAAUAUUGCGCAAUGGGCGAAAGCCUGACGCAGCGACGCCGCGUGGGGGAUGACGGCCUUCGGGUUGUAAACCUCUUUCAGCAGGGACGAAGUUGACGUGUACCUGCAGAAGAAGCGCCGGCUAACUACGUGCCAGCAGCCGCGGUAAUACGUAGGGCGCAAGCGUUGUCCGGAAUUAUUGGGCGUAAAGAGCUCGUAGGUGGCUUGUCACGUCGGGUGUGAAAGCUUGGGGCUUAACUCCAGGUCUGCAUUCGAUACGGGCUGGCUAGAGGUAGGUAGGGGAGAACGGAAUUCCUGGUGUAGCGGUGAAAUGCGCAGAUAUCAGGAGGAACACCGGUGGCGAAGGCGGUUCUCUGGGCCUUACCUGACGCUGAGGAGCGAAAGCGUGGGGAGCGAACAGGAUUAGAUACCCUGGUAGUCCACGCUGUAAACGUUGGGCGCUA
rnacentral:rRNA from 1 species